rnacentral:misc_RNA from 1 species
AAGUCGUAACAAGGUAUCCGUAGGUGAACCUGCGGAUGGAUCAUUAUCAACGUAUCCACGUAUCAACCAUUGUGAACUGUUCUUUACCUUUAGAAAGAAAGUGGUGAUAAGCGGAAAGGAAAACAAAGGAUUUCGGUUCUUUUUUCUUUUUCUCUCUUUCUAAAGUGUAUUUUGCUUAUCAUCAAUUUCAUUAACCAUUUUAACCAAAUUUUUUUUUAACUUUUUGAACUGAUUUAAUCUCUUACUCUUCGGAGAAGAAAUUCGAUUUACGAAACAUAAGAACAACUCUUAGCAACGGAUAUCUUGGUUCUC